rnacentral:lncRNA from 1 species
AGUGAUGCCCAUUUUUAUCCACAUGUCUCUGCCUCUUCAGUCUCUUUUUGCUUUGAUGACUCUGUCCCUGCCUUUUCUAUGCUGUCUCUUUUGUCUCCCCUUGCUCUUAUUUCCCUCUUUCCUCUGUCUCUCUGUCUGUCCCUUAUCCUGUCUCCUUCCCACCUCAUCCCCGCCUGACAUAUACUGGCACCUGCCCCUGACCAGCUUCCCUUUGUCUUGGUCCUUCUCCAGUUGCCUGGUAACCGCCUUCCCCACCAGCCCCACAGAAACCAUAGCAACGGGCAGCCCGGAGAUGCGGCCAUUCAUCUUGCUUUUGUCCUGUGCGUUUCCGCCACUGCAGGCCACGCACGUGGACGCUCCAAUUACAGGUACUCAGGCAGGAAGCCUUUGUCCAAGGCCCAUUCACAGCCAAGUGGACUCAGGGAGCCGAAGCUGUCGGGCGCUGCCACACAAAGUGUCUUUGUGCCUCCUCCAGGUGCUCCCUGCAGCGCUCAAGGACAGUGGGAUCUCCAAGCUCACGCUCAAAAGCCCACAUGACAAACAAUGACAGGGAUGGAAAAAAGAGGAACAGACAGACAGACAGACUGACUGACUGACAUCCAACCCAACAGGCUCCAGAAGAAAAGCCCAAGGGCACAGGAACAUACAGUGGGGCAUUGCAAUAGUCUGCACAGAGGCAAGGACUCUGUCCCAGCUCACUGAGUGCACCUCUGGACGCUGAUGCUCUGUCCAUCCUCCAACACAGAUCACUUUAAAGCCACAUAGAUCUUUUCUCUAGCCUCGAUCUUCAGAGCCCCAUUGCAGCUCCCCUUAGUGUGAAGCCUUUCCUGAGCCCUCCCUCACUGCUCAGCAUUGAUUGGGUCACCUGACUCCCUAGACUGUGUGUGUGUGUAUGUGUGUGUGUGUGUGUGUCUGUGUGUCUGUGUGUCUGUGUAUAUGCCUGUAUGUGUGGUAUAUGUGUGUGUAUUUGUGUGUGAGUGUGUGUGUGUGUGUGUGUGUGUGUGGUGUGGUGUGUGUGUGUUGUCUGUGUGUGUGUGGUGUGUGUGUAUGUGACAUGUAGCAUGUGUAUCUAUGUGUGUAUGGUCUCUGUGGUGUGUAUGUGAGUGUGUGUGUGUAUGUGUGUAUGUGUGUGAUGUAUAUGUGUGUGUAUAUGUGUCUCUGUGUGUCUGUGUGUGUGAUGUGUGAAUAUGUGGCAUGUGGUAUGUGUGUCUAUGUGUGUAUGAGCUCCGUGGUGUGUGUAUAUGUAUUUGUGUGUGUGUGAGUUUGUGUGUGUGGUAUGUGUGUAUGCUUAUGUGUGUGGCCUCUGUGUGUGUGUGUUUGUGGUGUGUAUGUAUCUGUGUAUAUGUGUGGUAUGUGUGUGGUAUAUGGUAUAUGUGUGUGUGUGUGUGUGUGGUGUUUGUCCAUGUGUAUGGUCUCUAUGGUGUGUGUGUCUGUGUGUGGCCUCUGUGUGUGUGUGUUUGUGGUGUGUAUGUAUCUGUGUAUAUGUGUGGUAUGCAUGUGGUAUAUGGUAUAUGUGUGUGUGUGUGGUGUUUGUCCAUGUGUGUGGUCUCUAUGGUAUGUGUGUCUGUGUGUAUGGUGUGUGU